UGCUUUAGAAGUUCUUAAUGUUCUGUCACAUACCAGCAAUAUUUGAACACGAUGUUCAAAUAAGUCUCCACUGAGCCAAGGAUGGCGAAUUGGAGACGGUUGCGGACGAUACCGAUACACUACAUCAGAACAUUUAGAACUUCAAAGUA
rnacentral:ncRNA from 1 species